AGCCUUUUGCAGUUCAUAAGCGUGAUGAUUAGAUUUUUACAGGGACGUGUGAAAUGUGCCUCCCUCAAACGUGGUUAUGAUGUUGGCACAUCACCUGUCUGAUA